CUUGAUGUUAAUUUUAACAGAAACUCUUUGAGAGGGCUUUUUGGGAUCGUCGUUUCUCUAGAACUCGAGAAGAAAAAGGCAAAGACAUCACAAAAGGAAGAGUGCUAGCAUGGGGUGAAAAAGAUGUUCUCUUAAAGUCUACAACUACAGAGGAAGAGUCUUCUGCAGAUGAAGUCGAAAUAAGCUUGUUAAAACCUUUCAAAUCAGAUUUGUCUGCAGAGAAUGUCAUAGAAGUGUCAUUGGAAGGAGAACAGAAAGGAGAUGAUGAUGAUAAUGGUAUUGCACAUCAGGAAGAAGAAACCAAGCAGACAGAGGGAGAAAGGAACCAAGGGAGUCCUCCCAGGAAGCAAACGAACAGUCCCAGUUGUGUUAAUGGGAGGAAUAACAACACCGAUCAAUUGGAAAAUGUGAAGGCAAAGUGUUUUCUGUGCAAGGACUAACAUAAUAAAAAAUACGAGUGUGCACAUUCUCAAAUAAACAUUGCUUGGAAAUA